UUCGAACAGUGGGAAUCUGAACAAUUUUUUUACAAAAAUGUGUGUGAUUCUCACCAAGCUUGAACAGAAGAUCUUUUUAAUAGAGAAACCAUUCAGGUUAGCAGAUUGUCAAGGAUGAUUAUAAAUAUUUAUUUAAAUUAUUACAUUUUAUUAAUAUAUCAUCGCCUUGAACUUUACGAACGAUACCGUAAUGCGAGGAAUUUGGAAAUUUAACAAUCUAAUGUGGCAGUGAUUCAUUUUUGUGGAAGAUUGAGACAAACCCACAUAAUUGAUUUAUACAUGAAAUGUUGCAAACUGAUUUAAAAUCAAAUAAAAUCGGUGCAACCGAACUGAGUUUAGACGCAUUUCUAAUGUGUGGGAUUUCAUAAGUUUAAGCUUUCAUUAGUUUGACCAAUUUUUUAAAUUCUAUCAACAUUCAAAUAAUAUUCAUUUUAGGCCAAUAUCGGCCGGACGGCGCCGGAGGUUACCAACCGGAUGACUCUGGACGGUACGUUCAUGUUCCUAAUCCAUACGAGCAUAUUAUCGGACCUCAAGGAGGAGUGGGUGGAAACGGAGGCGUAGGAGGCACUGGGGGAGGAGGAGGUCUUGGACCUGGAGGGCCUGGAGGACCUGGAGGACCUGGAGGCCCGGGUGGACCAGGAGGCCCAGGGGGACCAGGAGGCCCAGGGGGACCAGAAGGUUUUCUGCAGCCUCCAGGACCUCCAGGACCUCCAGGACCUCCAGGACCUCCAGGACCGUUCGGACCACCAGGACCUCCCGGACCGCCUGGCCCUCUAGGAGGCUUUGGGCCGAACCCAUUUGGAUCCGUACCAGAGCAUCCACCUAGUUUAAAUCUUAAUUAUUUGCCGGUUAAAAAAUAACAUGUAAACUAGAGCUUCGGAAGUGUAAAAGGGCUACGAAGCAACGGCUGGAUUCAGAGUCAUUCAUGCCUUUUUCUAAGACGGCUCAUGCGAAAACUAAAAACUGAAACAAGGUGAAACUUGCAAUAACAGCAUUGUAGCAUUGUAAAAAACAUUUAUAACAAAAAUACAUAUGAAAUAUUACAUAA